AGGGCUAAGUCUGUGCUGUGAUUAAUUCUCCAAAGCUUCCUGAUGGAUCAGGCGGAAGCCAGACUCCACGCGGAGAUAACAUCUUUGCUUAGCCCUUUCCCCUGCCCUACCCUGCUUCCCCCGCACUCCUUUCUCCUGAGAGUUUUCCCUCAAUAAUCAUAUCCCUUGAAUACCUGUCUUAGGCUCUACUGCUGGGGAGCCCCCCUAAGACACCCCUCAAUAGAGCAAUGGAGUCCCUUAGUAAAAUCUGUACUCCUUUACUUGGCAUUCAAGGCCCUCUAUGAUCAGAGCACCCACUUUCCUGCCUUGUCCGCCCCGUCCCCCUUCCCUUGUGCUGUGUUGGUGCAGAGCAUAGCAGAUGACUGAACUGCAUGCUGAAUCGGCAUAUGUUGCCUCAUUUCCCACCUCUGAGCCUUUUCUAUGCUCUUCCUCCCGCUGGGCCUCUCUUUGCUGCCUCCAUCCUCCAUGCACAUUGAAGCACUACCCACACUUCAAGUGAAACCUUCCUGCCCUCGAGCCAGAAGCCCCGUCUCCCUCCUUUGAUCUCCCAGAGCACCUCCUGUGUCUCUCUGAUAACACGAAUCACCUUCUGCUUGGUAACUGUAGGGUAACACCAAGUUCAACGGCACUAUUUCUGUCUCAGUUGAGGCCCCAAAGCCAGCAGGUGCCAACCAGUCCACAUCCAAAGUGAGGCGCAAGACCACCCUAGCAGGACUUACAAAGGAGGUGGCCCAGAGCUGGAACUCCCUGCCGACCCUUCACCCCCAGGCCAUCAGUGAAGCUAUUGAUGAGUCAGUGUUUGCAGGUGCAAAGGAUGCUGAGGAUUUCCCAUGGAGCCUAUGGAGGUGAACUGGGAUUGUUUUUACAAAGGUGUGGACCAGCAGAUGCCCAGAGAUUGAGGGCAGAUGAAAUGACAGCUGGAGAGUGCCACACCCCUGCUAGGGAACAACGACAGAGCCAGUUACUAGCACACCGCUGCUUGACAGCUUCCACUUAUGAACUCUUGUGAGCCCUGAACCACCACAUAAGAAGUUCAGCUACCUUUCAGGAAAGACCACCUGUGGAAAAGCCCCAUGGAGAGGGAGAGACCCUGAGAUUACAUGGAGGAGAACCAAGGCACCCAGAUAAAUGACCCAGUGGAGCUAUUCCAGCAAGUCUCCAGCCUUGCGAGCCCUCCUAGCUGAGGCAUCUGACCUAUGAAUGAAGAGGCCACGGACACCCGACCCCGGGAGACAUCAUCACACGGAUCAGAGAUGAGCCAUCCCUGCUGCAACCUGUCUGAAUUCCCGACUCAUAGCUGGUCAAAUAAGAGAUUUGUGGUUUUAAACCAUUAAGUUUUGGGGUACUUUAGGAUGCAUCAGUAGACAGAACUGCUGGGGAUCCCAAGACAAAGAGCCAGACAGCCCCAUGUCCCCUGCCAUGGUCUCUUCCCUAUGUAGCUUCUCAUUCCCUUUGGCAUUGCCUGGGUUCCAGGAAGCCCGAAGGAGAGGUUCCCAGCUCUCUCACCCCAACAGAGGUGGCCUCACUUGCCCCCGAACCACCCUGAUCUUCCAGGGAUCCCGGAGGGCAUCCCCACUCACACCCUCCCCCAUCCCAUGGAAGCAGACAGGGAGAUGCGGAGUGAGGGAUUCUGCUGGGGAGGCUGGUGUGGAGCUGAGAGAGGGAUGGAGCCCCUCCCUUCCCUGUUGACAUUUGGAAAGGACAAAAUUAGGAGGAAGGUAAAUGUUACUUUUCUUGUCUUCUGGGGACCAGGGAAGAGGAAGGCCAACCCAAGGUUCGGAUUGUUUUCAAGUUUGGUGAGGAUGCUGGGGUGCUGGGCAUGAGUUCCCUGAAGACUGAGGAGGUUGUUGCUCGUGGGCUUGGCGUCUUGCAACAGAGGUUGCUUGGGAACAGUGUGGGGCAAGACUGCCCUCUCCAUCCCCUUCUGGAGCCUCUGCGGCUGGUGGUCCCAACCAGGGGUGAUGCCACUGGUCUGCAUAGUGUUUCCAAAUUCCUGACAGCUACUGAUCUGGGGGACUUGGGAAUGAGCAAUUAGAAUCCCGAGAGUUCUUGGAAAUUCC
rnacentral:lncRNA from 1 species